rnacentral:rRNA from 1 species
CACGUAGGGGCCAAGCGUUGUCCGGAUUCAUUGGGCGUAAAGAGCUCGUAGGCGGUUCAGUCAGUCGGGUGUGAAAUCUCCGGGCUCAACUCGGAGGGGCCACCCGAUACUGCUGUGACUCGAGUCCGGUAGGGGAGUGGGGAAUUCCUGGUGUAGCGGUGAAAUGCGCAGAUAUCGGGAGGAACACCAAUGGCGAAGGCAGCUCGCUGGGACGGUACUGACGCUGAGACGCGAAAGCGUGGGGAGCAAACAGG